GCCCGGCUGGCACAAUCGGUAGCGCGUGAGACUCUUAAUCUCAAGGUUGUGGGUUCGGUUAGUAACACUAAAACACCUGGCU